AGAUUUUUUACUAGGUCGGGUUUAAUGUAAUUUCUGUUUGAUCCGGUGUCAAUAAGUAUUUUUAAUAUUUGACCACUCCUCACCUUACAUUCAAAAUAGGGAAGUGAGGAGUAUUUUAUUCUAAAAAAUUCAAAGCUGAGUAGGCAUAGUUAUUUUCGUCUUCGGUGCCGUCAUAUUGAUCAAUGUAGUUUCAAUGUGUUUCAAAUACCGACAAGCUGAGUGCAAGCUAUAUACAAUUAAACUUCAAACAAAAAAAAAACCAAAAAAAAUAGAACGACAAAGAAAAAAAACCACGCGACAAGUAGUAAAAGCCAGUGGGAAAGAAAGAGCAGUUGCCAGGCCUGAAUGCAGGUCCCAUAGGCAAAAGUUAAGCGGAAAAGUGAGCCAGCAUCGCAGCGCCGUAGCCGUAGUCGUUGAACAAUUGACCAGAAAAACGUAUAAUUCUGCAAUCAAAAAUCAAACAAACAUAAAAAAACUAUUCCUUUAUAAUAAUGUGAUUAUAUUACAAAA